rnacentral:rRNA from 1 species
UACGGGGGGGGCAAGCGUUGUUCGGAAUUACUGGGCGUAAAGGGCCAGUAGGCGGCCAACUAAGUCCGACGUGAAAUCCCCAGGCUCAACUUGGAAAUGGCAUCGGAUACUAUUCGGCUCGAGGAAUGGAGGGGAGACUGGAAUACUUGGUGUAGCAGUGAAAUGCGUAGAUAUCAAGUGGAACACCAGUGGCGAAGGCGAGUCUCUGGACAUUUCCUGACGCUGAGGCACGAAAGCCAGGGGAGCAA